rnacentral:lncRNA from 1 species
AACAAUCUUAUUUUACCUUCUUCCACCAGCAGAAGCUCUAAUUUUUUUGUUUAUUAUAUAUAAUUUUAUAGAAAGUGUUAGAUAUAUUUCGAAUUCUAAAACCGCAAGAUUUUUUAAUCUUAUUCUGUUUUGAUUAUACUAUUAAGUUAAGUUUAAAUUAUGCCUAAUCAUAGUGAAUUUAUAUUUCUAAUUGCAGCAGGACUUAGCUACUGUUAUAAAUAUAUCUUUUAUUCUAUUAAUUUGGUGCAGUAGAUGAGAACUAAUGUUAGUGUAUUUUUGGGAGUAUGGUUUUAUAAGAUAAACAUAUUUUGUACGCCACUUUGAUUAUAAUAAAAAUCUCACAUGUAUCUUCACCUAGUAGAUGUACGUCAUUGGCCGAA